rnacentral:lncRNA from 1 species
AUGCUCAGGUCUCCCCUGAAUGCCGAUGAUGGUCAGAGCGAGUGUGUUUCCUGCUUGGGGAAAUCCCACAUGGAAGCCGCGCUGACAGGGACGGACCAUUCUCAUUGCAAGAACUUCAGUCUCACUUCUCUACACUCAUGGAUGACUUUCUUUUCAGAGAGGGACUCCACCCCUCUCGCCCUCCCAUUUACUUCCUUCCAGGAACCUGUGAGGAAAAAACUGCAGGAAAGAGGACUCCAGUGCUCGGUUGUGAGCGAGCUCAUACAGCAUAAUAUUGUGUUAUUUUCCGAAGCAAUGAUAUUUUAUUAUACUAUUUGGUAUAAUAAUAAAAUAUAUUUUUUUACAGCCCAGUCGAUGGUGGUGUUGAGUUGUUUUUUUUUCUGUUGAGGUCAGCUGGGUCAUCUUCUGCAUGUAGUAAGUUAGUAAAGC